rnacentral:rRNA from 1 species
AUUGAACGCUGGCGGCAGGCCUAACACAUGCAAGUCGAACGGUAACAGGAAGCAGCUUGCUGCUUUGCUGACGAGUGGCGGACGGGUGAGUAAUGUCUGGGAAACUGCCUGAUGGAGGGGGAUAACUACUGGAAACGGUAGCUAAUACCGCAUAACGUCGCAAGACCAAAGAGGGGGACCUUCGGGCCUCUUGCCAUCGGAUGUGCCCAGAUGGGAUUAGCUAGUAGGUGGGGUAACGGCUCACCUAGGCGACGAUCCCUAGCUGGUCUGAGAGGAGGACCAGCCACACUGGAACUGAGACACGGUCCAGACUCCUACGGGAGGCAGCAGUGGGGAAUAUUGCACAAUGGGCGCAAGCCUGAUGCAGCCAUGCCGCGUGUAUGAAGAAGGCCUUCGGGUUGUAAAGUACUUUCAGCGGGGAGGAAGGUGUUGAGGUUAAUAACCUCAGCAAUUGACGUUACCCGCAGAAGAAGCACCGGCUAACUCCGUGCCAGCCGCCGCAGUAAUAC